CAGGCGAAAGCUCCAAAUCCACAGGGACAACUGACUGGUUGAGCACAAGCCUAAACUCUUCUCCAAACUUGCAAUCUGGUACCCAUCCGGGAUUUUUAUCCAAAUAAAAUGUAAAGGCAAGCGUAAGUACAUCUCGUACUCAGCAAGAAUAACAUAGGGUUCAUGAGGCUCAAAGGCUAGACACUGUUUAAUUGCAUGUAGCUUUUAGUUGUCACGAUUUUAGCAUAAGAGUAGCAUCAAGUUGUCA
rnacentral:lncRNA from 1 species